rnacentral:rRNA from 1 species
UACGUAGGUGGCAAGCGUUAUCCGGAAUUAUUGGGCGUAAAGCGCGCGCAGGCGGUCUCUUAAGUCUGAUGUGAAAGCCCACGGCUCAACCGUGGAGGGUCAUUGGAAACUGGGAGACUUGAGUGCAGAAGAGAAGAGCGGAAUUCCACGUGUAGCGGUGAAAUGCGUAGAGAUGUGGAGGAACACCAGUGGCGAAGGCGGCUCUUUGGUCUGUAACUGACGUUGAGGCUCGAAAGUGUGGGUAGCAAACAGG